AGGACAAGAGCCGAGCGGCCGAGCACGUGCGCCAGGCGCUGCCGUACCUGCAGAGCCCACAGGAGCCCCUGCGAGAGGCGGCCGUCAGGUUCACGGGGCUGGCCGGCCGGAGCUUGAGGAGACAGCAGGAAGAGCUGCAGCUGACCUACAGAGCCCUUGAAGACAUGGCAGAUGACGCCAGUCUUGCUGUCGGAAACCUGGCAAUUCAAACUUUGUAUGUUCUCAG